GACGAACGCUGGCGGCGUGCUUAACACAUGCAAGUCGAACGAUGAAGCCGGAGCUUGCUCUGGUGAAUUAGUGGCGAACGGGUGAGUAACACGUGAGUAACCUGCCCUUGACUCUGGGAUAACUGCGGGAAACUGUAGCUAAUACCGGAUACGACCCUCGGAGGCAUCUCCUGGGGGUGGAAAGAAUUUCGGUCAAGGAUGGACUCGCGGCCUAUCAGCUAGUUGGUGAGGUAAUGGCUCACCAAGGCGACGACGGGUAGCCGGCCUGAGAGGGUGACCGGCCACGCGGGGACUGAGACACGGCCCAGACGCCUACGGGGGGCAGCAGUGGGGAAUAUUGCACAAUGGGCGCAAGCCUGAUGCAGCAACGCCGCGUGAGGGAUGACGGCCUUCGGGUUGUAAACCUCUUUUAGUAGGGAAGAAGCGAAAGUGACGGUACCUGCAGAAAAAGCACCGGCUAACUACGUGCCAGCAGCCGCCGUAA
rnacentral:rRNA from 1 species